rnacentral:rRNA from 1 species
GUAUCCUGGCUCAGGAUGAACGCUAGCGGGAGGCCUAACACAUGCAAGCCGAGCGGUAUAGAGUAGCUUGCUACUCUUAGAGAGCGGCGCACGGGUGCGGAACACGUGUGCAACCUGCCUUUAUCUGGGGGAUAGCCUUUCGAAAGGAAGAUUAAUACCCCAUAAUAUAUUGAGUGGCAUCAUUUGAUAUUGAAAACUCCGGUGGAUAGAGAUGGGCACGCGCAAGAUUAGGA